rnacentral:rRNA from 1 species
AGUCAACAUGCCCAGGGGACGUGGAUAACCUCGGGAAACUGAGGAUAAACCGCGAUAGGUCAUCACUUCUGGAAUGGGUAAUGACUUAAAUCUAUAUGGCCCCUGGAUUGGACUGCGGCCGAUCAGGCUGUUGGUGAGGUAAUGGCCCACCAAACCUGUAACCGGUACGGGCUCUGAGAGGAGGAGCCCGGAGAUGGGCACUGAGACAAGGGCCCAGGCCCUAUGGGGCGCAGCAGGCGCGAAACCUCUGCAAUAGGCGGAAGCUUGACAGGGUUACUCUGAGUGAUUUCCGUUAAGGAGAUCUUUUGGCACCUCUAAAAAUGGUGCAGAAUAAGGGGUGGGCAAGUCUGGUGUCAGCCGCCGCGGUAAUACCAGCACCCCGAGUGGUCGGGACGUUUAUUGGGCCUAAAGCAUCCGUAGCCGGUUCUACAAGUCUUCCGUUAAAUCCACCUGCUUAACAGAUGGGCUGCGGAAGAUACUAUAGAGCUAGGAGGCGGGAGAGGCAAGCGGUACUCGAUGGGUAGGGGUAAAAUCCGUUGAUCCAUUGAAGACCACCAGUGGCGAAGGCGGCUUGCCAGAACGCGCUCGACGGUGAGGGAUGAAAGCUGGGGGAGCAAACCGGAUUAGAUACCCGGGUAGUCCCAGCUGUAAACGAUGCAGACUCGGUGAUGAGUUGGCUUAUUGCUAACUCAGUGCCGCAGGGAAGCCGUUAAGUUUGCCGCCUGGGGAGUACGGUCGCAAGACUGAAACUUAA